rnacentral:rRNA from 1 species
GAAUAUUGGGCAAUGGGCGAAAGCCUGACCCAGCAACGCCGCGUGAGGGAAGAAGGUCUUCGGAUUGUAAACCUCUGCCCUUGGGGACGAACACAAUGACGGUACCCAAGGAGGAAGCCCCGGCUAACUACGGGCCAGCCGCCGCGGUACUACGUAGGGAGCGAGCGUUGUCCGGAAUUACAUGGCGUAAAGGGUGCGUAGGCGGCAUGGCAAGUCAGAUGUGAAAUCCCCGGGCUUAACUCGGGUGCGGCAUUUGAAACUGCCGUGCUUGAGUGCAGGAGAGGAAAGCGGAAUUCCUAGUGUAGCGGUGAAAUGCGUAGAUAUUAGGAGGAACACCAGUGGCGAAGGCGGCUUUCUGGACUGUAACUGACGCUGAGGCACGAAAGCGUGGGGAGCAAACA